UUUUGCAGCUAUAUCACAAUGCAACUCACAACGGACAGCGCACUAAAAGUGCGAGCCUGGUCAGUACCUGGAUGGGAGACCUCCUGGGAAAGCUAAGGUUGCUGCUGGAA
rnacentral:rRNA from 1 species